rnacentral:rRNA from 1 species
GAUGAACGCUAGCUACAGGCUUAACACAUGCAAGUCGAGGGGUAACGAGAGGAAAGCUUGCUUUCCUUGUCGACGACCGGCGCACGGGUGAGUAACGCGUAUCCAACCUGCCCCCAACUAGGGAAUAACCUUGCGAAAGUAAGACUAAUACCCUAUAAUUUCCUCAGAUGUCAUCUGACGAGGAAUAAAGAUUUAUCGGUUGUGGAUGGGGAUGCGUCUGAUUAGCUUGUUGGCGGGGUAACGGCCCACCAAGGCAACGAUCAGUAGGGGUUCUGAGAGGAAGGUACCCCACAUUGGAACUGGGACACGGUCCAAACUCCUACGGGAGGCAGGAGUGAGGAAUAUUGGUCAAUGGGCGGAAGCCUGAACCAGCCAAGUAGCGUGCAGGAUGACGGCCCUAUGGGUUGUAAACUGCUUUUAUACAGGAAUAAAGUUAGCCACGUGUGGUUAUUUGUAGGUACUGUAUGAAUAAGGACCGGCUAAUUCCGUGCCAGCCGCCGCGGUAA